AGCUCAUGCUAGAGGAAGCCAGCUGCCAUGUCAGGAGGCAGCCCUGGGAGUGGCCUUGGAAGUGGAAGUUCUGAGGCUGCCACAGCCAAGUUAGGUGGAAGUUGAGCCCUGAGAUGGGCUGUAAGGUGACAUCUUGAUUGGAUCUUGAUGGGACUCUGAACUGGAACCACUCAGCACAGUGAGAUGGAAAUCUCCAUGCUCCACGGGACAGUUUUGAUCGGCAACUGUGCCAUGGUGAAAUCUUACCCCACAGGACAUCUGCGUUAUAAAAAAAAAGCUUCAUGCAGUCCUGGUGAUCAGAAAGUUCAGAGACUCCUUGCUCAUGUUACAGAAAAGAAAAUGGACUCCAAAAAUACACCGAAGUCUUGCCUAGGAAAGUUGACUUUAUUACUGAGAAGCCCAAGCCUGUUGCAGGUGGGCCUCUGGUUCCCACGUGUACCACCUGCUACACUUUGGAU